GACAUACUCCCUCCGUUCGGAAUUACUUGUCGCCGAAAUGGAUGUAUCCAGAUGUAUUUUAGUUCUAGAUAUAUCCAUUUCCAAGACAAGUAAUUCCGAACGGAGGGAGUACAAG
rnacentral:pre_miRNA from 1 species